GACAGAGGUGCCGAGCGUUAGGCGGAAUCACUGGGCUUAAAGCGUGUGUAGGCGGCCCGUUAAGUGCCUCGUGAAAUCCCUCGGCUCAACCGAGGACGUGCAUUCGAUACUGGCAGGCUUGAAUAUGGAAGAGGGUCGCGGAAUUCCCGGUGUAGAGGUGAAAUUCGUAGAUAUCGGGAGGAACACCAGUGGCGAAGGCGGCGACCUGGGCCAAUAUUGACGCUGAGGUGCGAAAGCGUGGGGAGCAAACAGG
rnacentral:rRNA from 1 species